UACGUAGGGUGCAAGCGUUAAUCGGAAUUACCGGGCGUAAAGCGUGCGCAGGCGGUCCUAUAAGACAGAUGUGAAAUCCCCGGGCUCAACCUGGGAACUGCAUUUGUGACUGUAGGGCUAGAGUACGGUAGAGGGGGAUGGAAUUCCGCGUGUAGCAGUGAAAUGCGUAGAUAUGCGGAGGAACACCGAUGGCGAAGGCAAUCCCCUGGACCUGUACUGACGCUCAUGCACGGAAGCGUGGGGAGCAGACAGG
rnacentral:rRNA from 1 species